GACUCUCGGCAACGGAUAUCUCGGCUCUUGCAUCGAUGAAGAACGUAGCGAAAUGCGAUACUUGGUGUGAAUUGCAGAAUCCCGUGAACCAUCGAGUCUUUGAACGCAAGUUGCGCCUGAAGCCAUUAGGCUGAGGGCAUGCCUGCCUGGGUGUCGCCCAU
rnacentral:rRNA from 1 species